rnacentral:tRNA from 1 species
CAGGUUAUUCUUAAAGUUAAGAACUUCAUUUACACUGGAGUAAAUUAUCGUGCGAUUCGAUGUAAUCUGA